GUUUGCUUCAGCCCUGUGGUCUUGUUGCUUUCCUAACUUGGAUGACUCUACUUCAAAAAAAUGUAAAAGGCCCUCAAGGAUGAGCUCCAGCAUGAAGACUGGAGGUGUCUUCUGAGUGGUGUCAAAAGUGACAGCAAACUCCAAAAUGAGCUUGGAAAGUUGCCACUUCACCAGAUAAAGAACCAGUCCAGCAACUGGCUCACCAUGUAUCCAGACCCUUCUUCCUAGGUGAAGACAACAUAAGAAACUUCAGCAGCACCACCAGGUUCCUAAUUUGUGUUUCCCAUGGGGAAAUAACGAAGUUCACAAAUGGGGAAAGAAGGGAGCAAAGAGAUAAUCCGUCAUGUGUGAGCUGAAAUGAACUAAUGUUUCAGACUGACCCUUUCAGGAACAUUUCUCUGUCUCUCUGCCACUAACUGGAAGAUUAAUGCGGAUUCAUCUCAUCUAGCUGCAUAAAUCUACACUGCACCUCUGAGCUAUCCACCCUGCCUUGCCUUGGUGGCCAGAGAAAUCCUCACAAUAUUCCAUGAUCCAUGAGCUGACAACUCAAGCCAGCACGGACAGUACUUAAGCGUGGGAAGCCAGGACUGCCCUGCAAGGCCAGUACCACAGCUGUGACCAGAGCUGCGUCAUGGAAAGCUGCAGCCACUGCAACGGCAGGGGAGAGCAGGAGGAGGACACCAACAAGCUGCUUAUGAAGGACGUCUUGUGGGUCGCUUUGCUCAGGGCAGCACUGUUUCGGGGCUCAUGGAAUAACUGCCAGGUGGAGGGUAAGGACUGUGUUACUGAACACAAGUCGAUGCAGCUGCAGAAAAAAAGCCUCUUUCUGACAAUCAGCACAGAGGUCACUCCUACUAAUGGAAAAUGUUUUAUAAUAAUAACAAUGAAACACUAAAUUUGCAGGGAAUGAAUCACAAAGUCUCCAGCACCAGGGAUGACACAUGCACUUAAUGCUUUGGGGGAUGGAGAGGAUGGAAAGGUGGCUGGAGUAUUUCUUGAAUUCACUUUUAACCCUGUGGGUCUAUGAUUUUAACAAAACCAGUCUUCAUUUUUUUUCUACGUUCACAUAAAUAUUAUCUGCACAAGAAUGUAAACAACGGUAAAAAAGUGGAAUCUGGAAGCAGGUCAGCUCUUGAGGAGUGCCUGCUUUCUGAAGUGCACACAGUCCUGCAACUUACAGCCUACAACUGUAAGAUCACAUCAGAUGUGAAGAGUGUAACUUUCUAUGUCGCAGCAAAGAGCAAGCCAGUUAUGUCUUCUGAUGCUAGAAAUAUAACACAAUGCUUCCCAUGCCUUAAACUGCAAUUUCUAUCUGUAUCUAUAGAAUGCCUUCAUAAAAUUGUGUUUUUUCAUUGUUGUUGGGAAUUGUGAGUGUUGAUAGUGUCCCAUUCCUCUUGUCUUGUUGGCAAUUCCCUAUCUAUAGCUUUUUCACUCAUGCUCAGGCUUGUACUAGGAAAUGUUCCCCAGAAAGAGUUCACUGCUGAACAUCCGUGUUGUGCCUAAUAAAAUGCUG